rnacentral:tRNA from 1 species
AGCUCAAUUGGUUUAGAGCAUUCCGCUUUUAGGCGGAAGGGUCCGCGGUUCGAACCCGUCC